AACAAAAUGGUCUCAUUUUACAACAUUUUACGUACAUAACGAAUCAGAUAGAUACGAAGAUUGAAACGCCUUCCAAUAUGAAUAUUUUUACGAUAGCCUUUGUCGCACUAAAAUUUUGAAUUAAGAUUGAGAUUGACGUAAUUCUAAGGAUUUCAAAAAAUGAGGAUUCUUUCUGUUGUCGUCAUAAUCAUCAUCAUCAUCAUCAGUGUACAUGUAAUGUAGUUAGGUGGCUAGGUGCACAUGUAAAUAAUGCAUUUUCAGUUUCGUGGACAGUGCAUUACAAACUGUGGAAUUGAAGUUUGAACAAGUAGAAUUGUGUAAUGUACUCAGAUCUUACAGAGUACAGAGAACGAGUAGAACGUAACGCAGCGAUGUAUAAAUAAUUACACAUAUUAUAUACUCUUUCCUAUUGGAUAAGAUGAGUGAUGCCCUUCUCACGUUAGUUUUUCCCCUCUUGCAUUUGCGUGAGUCGUAAGGCCAAGUUCUUUGUAAUAUUAUUUCAACAUUAGCCAUUGCCCUGAUUGCCGUCGCUGUUGCUGUUGUGUGUGUCGAAUGAGAGUUUCAUCGUUGGAGGGGAAGUCAAAAUUUCUUCAUUAACUGUAGCCGGCUGGCCGCGAACAGGAUCGCGAUUUCCGUGCUCUCUCUCUUCGCUCGUGACGCUUACCGCUUACGUUUUACAUUAUACAUUCUUAGUUCAUCUAUCUUCGCCUAUCGUCGUCGUCUUGUUUCUCGUUGUGUCGGGCCGGUCUGCGAUUCCGUCCGUAUGGUACUUAAAAUUCUACUUGUUGGUUUUUUCCAAUGAUUGUGACCGUUAGCGGAUUUGGUAUUCGGUCAGUACGUGUUAUUUGUGCGGCUUUUCGAGCACUAUAAAAUUUCCGCUUGGUUUUUCGAAUUUUGUUAGUUUUUUUUUCGAUUUUUUUGUGCAUGUUGAAUGUUUUUUUUUAUGCUUACUUAAUCGUAUCAGUUCGAAAUCAAAUUACAUCAACGUAAGUACUAAAGACCUCGUAGAAUUUAGGUAGACAUUGCGUUUGAUUUUAUUACGUUUUGAGGAAAAUACCUACCAACUGUGAUGUCGUUUCAACGAUCGGAGUAAUAGGCUAUUGUUCGAGUUACAAUUUUGAUUUUAUUACAGUACAUUCAAAUCGGACCGAUCAAACGCGUUUCAAGUAGAAUUGUAAGAAAACGGAGAUAAUGUAGGUACCUAUAGAUUGAUAAAUAGAUAGAAAACCAUCAGUAUACAUUUAUAUCAGAAUGUUCGUUCGUUAUAAUUACUUAUUUUGUUGUUCGUAUUAACGACUCGAGCCCAUAUUACUUAUAAUAACUACUUGUAGAAAUUUUUUUUAUCAGACAUUGAUACAUAGCGCGAUAAAAUUCAUCGUUGACGUGACGUAAUUUAUUAUUUCAUUACACGUUCGACCAAAAUUAUGGCAUAAAGAAAACGGUUUUAAAAUCGUGGUGGUAGUCUUCCGUUAACGUAACCUAGCCGAUUUCUUGACUACCCCUAGAGUUGGUGAAUCCUUUAAAAAAAAAAAAAAACCCUUAAAUGCCUAUAAGAAUGGUCAACA